rnacentral:tRNA from 2 species
GGGCGAUUAGCUCAGGGGUAGAGCACUACGCUCACAUCGUAGGGGUCACAGGUUCAAAUCCUGUAUCGCCCACCA